AACGAACGCUGGCGGCAUGCCUAACACAUGCAAGUCGAACGAGACCUUCGGGUCUAUUGGCGCACGGGUGCGUAACGCGUGGGAACCUGCCCUUAGGUUCGGACUAACUCCCCGAAAGGGGUGCUAAUACCGGAUAAUGUCUUCGGACCAAAGAUUUAUCGCCUUUGGAUGGGCCCGCGUUGGAUUAGCUGGUUGGUAGGGUAAAAGCCUACCAAGGCGACGAUCCAUAGCUGGUCUGAGAGGAUGAUCAGCCACACUGGGACUGAGACACGGCCCAGACUCCUACGGGAGGCAGCAGUGGGGAAUAUUGGACAAUGGGCGAAAGCCUGAUCCAGCAAUGCCGCGUGAGUGAUGAAGGCCUUAGGGUUGUAAAGCUCUUUUACCCGGGAUGAUAAUGACAGUACCGGGAGAAUAAGCUCCGGCUAACUCCGUG
rnacentral:rRNA from 1 species